rnacentral:rRNA from 1 species
GGGGUGAAAGGCCAAUCAAACCGGGAGAUAGCUGGUUCUCCCCGAAAGCUAUUUAGGUAGCGCCUCGUGAACUCAUCUCCGGGGGUAGAGCACUGUUUCGGCUAGGGGGCCAUCCCGGCUUACCAACCCGAUGCAAACUGCGAAUACCGGAGAAUGUUAUCACGGGAGACACACGGCGGGUGCUAACGUCCGUCGUGAAGAGGGAAACAACCCAGACCGCCAGCUAAGGUCCCAAAGUCAUGGUUAAGUGGGAAACGAUGUGGGAAGGCCCAGACAGCCAGGAUGUUGGCUUAGAAGCAGCCAUCAUUUAAAGAAAGCGUAAUAGCUCACUGGUCGAGUCGGCCUGCGCGGAAGAUGUAACGGGGCUAAACCAUGCACCGAAGCUGCGGCAGCGACACUCAGGUGUUGUUGGGUAGGGGAGCGUUCUGUAAGCCUGCGAAGGUGGCCUGUGAGGGUUGCUGGAGGUAUCAGAAGUGCGAAUGCUGACAUAAGUAACGAUAAAGCGGGUGAAAAGCCCGCUCGCCGGAAGACCAAGGGUUCCUGUCCAACGUUAAUCGGGGCAGGGUGAGUCGACCCCUAAGGCGAGGCCGAAAGGCGUAGUCGAUGGGAAACGGGUUAAUAUUCCCGUACUUGGUGUUACUGCGAAGGGGGGACGGAGAAGGCUAUGUUGGCCGGGCGACGGUUGUCCCGGUUUAAGCGUGUAGGUGUGUGUUCCAGGUAAAUCCGGUUCACUUUAACACUGAGGCGUGAUGACGAGGCACUACGGUGCUGAAGCAACAAAUGCCCUGCUUCCAGGAAAAGCCUCUAAGCAUCAGGUAACAUCAAAUCGUACCCCAAACCGACACAGGUGGUCAGGUAGAGAAUACCAAGGCGCUUGAGAGAACUCGGGUGAAGGAACUAGGCAAAAUGGUGCCGUAACUUCGGGAGAAGGCACGCUGACACGUAGGUGAAGUGAUUUACUCAUGGAGCUGAAGUCAGUCGAAGAUACCAGCUGGCUGCAACUGUUUAUUAAAAACACAGCACUGUGCAAACACGAAAGUGGACGUAUACGGUGUGACGCCUGCCCGGUGCCGGAAGGUUAAUUGAUGGGGUCAGCGCAAGCGAAGCUCCUGAUCGAAGCCCCGGUAAACGGCGGCCGUAACUAUAACGGUCCUAAGGUAGCGAAAUUCCUUGUCGGGUAAGUUCCGACCUGCACGAAUGGCGUAAUGAUGGCCAGGCUGUCUCCACCCGAGACUCAGUGAAAUUGAACUCGCUGUGAAGAUGCAGUGUACCCGCGGCAAGACGGAAAGACCCCGUGAACCUUUACUAUAGCUUGACACUGAACAUUGAGCCUUGAUGUGUAGGAUAGGUGGGAGGCUUUGAAGUGUGGACGCCAGUCUGCAUGGAGCCGGCCUUGAAAUACCACCCUUUAAUGUUUGAUGUUCUAACGUGGACCCGUGAUCCGGGUUGCGGACAGUGUCUGGUGGGUAGUUUGACUGGGGCGGUCUCCUCCUAAAGAGUAACGGAGGAGCACGAAGGUUGGCUAAUCCUGGUCGGACAUCAGGAGGUUAGUGCAAUGGCAUAAGCCAGCUUGACUGCGAGCGUGACGGCGCGAGCAGGUGCGAAAGCAGGUCAUAGUGAUCCGGUGGUUCUGAAUGGAAGGGCCAUCGCUCAACGGAUAAAAGGUACUCCGGGGAUAACAGGCUGAUACCGCCCAAGAGUUCAUAUCGACGGCGGUGUUUGGCACCUCGAUGUCGGCUCAUCACAUCCUGGGGCUGAAGUAGGUCCCAAGGGUAUGGCUGUUCGCCAUUUAAAGUGGUACGCGAGCUGGGUUUAGAACGUCGUGAGACAGUUCGGUCCCUAUCUGCCGUGGGCGCUGGAGAACUGAGGGGGGCUGCUCCUAGUACGAGAGGACCGGAGUGGACGCAUCACUGGUGUUCGGGUUGUCAUGCCAAUGGCACUGCCCGGUAGCUAAAUGCGGAAGAGAUAAGUGCUGAAAGCAUCUAAGCACGAAACUUGCCCCGAGAUGAGUUCUCCCUGAGACUUUAGGUCUCCUGAAGGAACGUUGAAGACGACGACGUUGAUAGGCCGGGUGUGUAAGCGCAGCGAUGCGUUGAGCUAACCGGUACUAAUGAACCGUGAGGCUUAACCUUACA